ACGGUGGAUCAGGGAGGAAAAGGAAGGUAUGAAGAAAAGAAGAAGAAGAAUGAAAAAAAAGAGCAUGGGGACAAUGUAACUCUAUGAUGGUGGAUCAGAGAGGAAGAGGAAGGUAUGAAGGAAGGAAGAAAAAGAAGAAUGAGAAAAAAAAGAGAAGCAAGGAAAGAAAAAAAAAUAUCAAGAUUGGUUUAACUUUUAAGGUAGACUAAUUCAGGUUUAAAAAGAGUAAGAAAAAAAGAGAGAAGCGAGGGAAGAAAAAAAUAAUUAUCAAGAUGGGUUUAAGAUAGACUAAUUCAGAUUUAAAAAGCGUAAGAAACAAAGAUAAGCGAAGAAAGAAAAAAAAUAUCAAGAUUGGUUUAACUUUUAAGAUAGACUAAUUCAAGUUUAAAAAGAGUAAGAAAAAAAUAAAGAGAAGUGAGGGAAGGAAAAAAAAACAAAUAUCAGGAUAGGUUUAAGAUAGACCAAUUCAAGUUUAAAAAGAGUAAGAAAAAAAAAGAAAAGCGAGGGAAGAAAAAAAUAUCAAGAUGGGUUUAAGAUAGACCAAUUCAGGUUUAAAAAGAGUAAGAAAAAAAAAGAAAGACAAGCGAGGGAAGAAAAACAACAAAUAUCAAGAUGGGUUUAAGAUAGACUAAUUCAGGUUUAAAAGGAGUAAGAAAAAAGAAAGAGAAGCAAGGGAAAAAACAAGAUCAUCAACAACAAGAUUUUAAGAUAGACAAAUUCAAGUUUAAAAGAGACACAUGUAAGAAUUGUGUUAUUAAUAAGUUGGAGGUGAGUAGAAAACAGACAAGAAUCAGUUCAUUAAUAGACUGGUGAAUGAGUGGCAAACAGGCAAGAAGAAAUAGGCCACGAUGAGAGUAGUGGAUGAGUGGAGCAGGCUUGGCAGCGAGUCAAAGCGUUAGUGCCAAUACGAUAGACACCUUCGAAAGUAGGCCAGAUAAAAGAAGUAAAAGAAAAGAAGAAAGAAAAAACAAGAAAAAAUAAGAUCACUAAGAAGUAAAAGAAAGAAAAAUGAGAAGUAGAAGAAAAAGAAUGAAGAGAAGAUAAUAAAGAAAUGUUUCACAGGUAGGGGAGUGAAAUUAACUUUACACUCAUGCCAAAACGAUACACUUAAAAAAAUAAAAACAUUAGAUAAAGUCAUGGAUAGACUGGAUUGGCAAUGUCAGGACCUGUUUAAUGUGGCUGGCUGACCGAUCCCUUACAGACUCUUUAUCCUCUGACGAAAAAAAUAAUGAAAAAG